AUGCUUUUCCUGGUCCUGCUAUUCCAGCGACUGUGCCAUCAGAUUUUGGUUAUUAGUGAAAAAGGACUGAUACGAUUCUGCAGAUCCCACGGAACUGGCUGGAAGCUGCUCUGUCAUUAGUGGCCACAGUCUACUACAUUUACACCAUUUAUCGAUCGGUCCUGGUCAGCGAUGUGCCGAGACGCUGCAAAGGCAAAACUACAAGACACAUAUUGAUUUCACUUCAUUAGCUGCAUGGGAUCAGAGUAUACAAAGCCUUACCGGCACAUUGCUCUUCCUUCUCACCUUGAGGUGCAUGAGUUUAAUCAGAAAGACAGCUCUCCCGCCUCGCUCAAUCUGCAGCAUCUCCUGGAGUUUGCUUGCAGGUCUUAUUGGUGCUGGAUAUUAUUUCCACUUCCAAAACUCGAGGGUCAAACACGGAGCCAAACCAAUCAAUUCAACGAGAAACGUGCUUCAUCAUGGCAUGACCUUCGUGCUGAUCAGACUACUGUGGACAGCCUUGGUUAUGAAUGUUGUGUCCUCAUCUGCGAAAUGCAUAUGGAGAGGGAGGGCUAUGUUCACCACCACUGACUUUGUACAAUAUGUAAAAGAUAGGCUGUUUUGGAGAUGGGCCCGAUCAGUGCACACGGCCAUAACAUGGAGAGAAAAACGUAUUACUUUGAGCAGUUUGAAAGUGUAUUAG
rnacentral:lncRNA from 1 species